rnacentral:rRNA from 1 species
AGGGCACCACCAGGAGUGGAGCCUGCGGCUUAAUUUGACUCAACACGGGAAAACUCACCCGGCCCGGACACUGGAAGGAUUGACAGAUUGAGAGCUCUUUCUUGAUUCAGUGGGUGGUGGUGCAUGGCCGUUCUUAGUUGGUGGAGUGAUUUGUCUGGUUAAUUCCGAUAACGAACGAGACUCUAGCCUAUUAAAUAGAUCGUUGGCUUACAAACGCCGGCGAGACUUCUUAGAGGGACAGGCGGCGAUUCAGCCGCACGAAACAGAGCAAUACCAUGUCUGUGAUGCCCUUAGAUGUCCGGGGCCGCACGCGCGCUACACUGAAGUGAUCAGCGUGCAUUUUGAAACCUACUCUGUCAAGAGUGGGGAACCCAAUGAACCUUCUUCGUGAUUGGGAUAGGGGAUUGUAAUUAUUCCCCUUGAACGAGGAAUUCCCAGUAAGCGCGAAUCAUAAGUUUGCGCUGAUUACGUCCCUGCCCUUUGUACACACCGCCCGUCGCUACUACCGAUUGAAUGUUU